rnacentral:lncRNA from 1 species
UACUUGUGGAGCUGGUAAUACUUGCGUCUGCAGCGCAAGGUGGUCGGGAUCGAAAUGCAGAGUGGGUCUGAGGUAGGCUUCAGAGAGGACCGUGUAGGAUGCCUAGAAGGUUGAUGUCAGCUGUCAGGCUCGUAGAGUGUAUGGGAAUAGUUAGUAGAGAGUUUUAGUUGAGUUUGAGAGGGCAGCAGGCAGGUCUAGGAACCAGCCUUGGUGCCAUAGAUAGAGCGAGUGUUCAGAGGUUUCAGGCUAGUGUCAGGUUGGCCAUCAAUCAGGGAGGUAGAGUUUGGUUCAGAGGUGGUGCUUGGUACCCAUAACCAUUUCUCUCUUUCCUUUCGGGAUGGUACCUGCAGAGAG